UACGUAGGGUGCAAGCGUUAAUCGGAAUUACUGGGCGUAAAGCGUGCGCAGGCGGUGAUGUAAGACAGAUGUGAAAUCCCCGGGCUCAACCUGGGAACUGCAUUUGUGACUGCAUCGCUGGAGUACGGCAGAGGGGGAUGGAAUUCCGCGUGUAGCAGUGAAAUGCGUAGAUAUGCGGAGGAACACCGAUGGCGAAGGCAAUCCCCUGGGCCUGUACUGACGCCCAUGCACGAAAGCGUGGGGAGCAAACAGG
rnacentral:rRNA from 1 species